GGAGGGUACGCGAAUUGGCUAGCAGCCUGACUCGAAAUCAGGUGCCGGUUUACCGGUUGAGGGUUCGAGUCCCUUGCCCUCCG
rnacentral:tRNA from 1 species